CUGUUUUCCAUUCACGGCAGUGCAUUUUCACAAUCGUAAAAGCCACACUUGUUUGCUUCGCUUCUGGUUGACUCCCUGAGCAAUGUGACAGGCCAUGGCAGGAGAGAGGAAACUGAGUGCCACCUGGAGUCCCCAGUAUUGUCCAGGGUGAAGCUUCCUUUGGGUAUAUGCCCAUGAGUGGUGCAGCUGGAUCUAAGAGGAGAUUAAUUCUGAUCUUCCUGAGGAACUGCCACACUGAUUUCCUUAGUGGCUGUGCAAGUUUGCACUCCCACCAGCAAUGGAGGAAUGUUUUCCUUGCUCCACAUCCUUGAUGCCUCUGGGAGAAGGUGGCUGACCAGUGAUUUGAAGACACAGGAAGACCAGCAUCAGAAGUGCCACUCCAGUGCUCCAAGGUCCAGCCCCUGCACUCAAACCUGUGAUUUCGAGAGUUUCUUCAGACAGAUCUUUUUUUCUGCUUGUAUCACAGACACACCAGCUGCUUGUCGAUCAUAACACCCAGCCUACACCGUGAACUCCAGCACAGUAUACAGGGAGACGGCAGAUGGAUGUGUGCAUCAUGAAGAAUAGAACAUCUGGAGCCAUUUUGGAGGCUGGCCUUCACUUUAACUAACACUGCCUCAUUUAAACAUCUCAGCACUGGAUGGAUUGCAUUUGUCAUUCUUGGUUUCUCUCAGUUUACUUUCCAGGUUAACUGAGAACUCCAAGGAUAUUGACUCAAGAUCUACCUCUGCCUCCCUACCUCCCCCAACUUUGUGUUAUCUUCUAAAAUUAGAAAAAAAUAUUAUCCAUUGAAUCCAAUUUUUGAGGCCUAUAUACUACUGAGUAUGGAGGAUAGUUGACCUACUAGGGUCACACCCUUGAAGAAAACGGACUUCCCUUCCUUAGAAGUCAUCAAAUGGCUCCUCUGUUAGAAGUGGGGAAUUGUGGAUCCAUUUCGAUGGGGUGAUUUCUGAAGGAUGUGUGACCAAGGGUCCCUGGAACUCUUCAAGAUGAGACACUGGAGAAUCAUAGCAAAGCAAUCUAUUAAACAAGAGGAGAAGCAGCAUCGUUGUGGCAUAUAGAUGGACAUGUUUCUGAAGACCAAGGGACGACACAAGGAUUCCCUAAGAACACACAAGAGCAAGGCCAGGCCAGCAUAACAGGGACCCAUCUAUGAUCAGAACUUGUAUUAGGAUCAGUCACUAAGGUGGUCUCCUCCUCAAGAGAAUGGAAAGCCACGCUGGGCUGCUGUACAGUGUCUUAGCCAACCAGAAGUUAUCCCAGCUGGAAGUUUGCCUAAACUCAUUACUUCUAUAGUUGCUUCAAAAUGGCUGAAGAAGGUUUUCUCCAGAGUGUGGGGAAGUGUUGCUUCUGGCUUACCUGUCAUGUGUCACAGGCUUGUGCUAUUCGGGAAAAUAAAUUGCAGGAGAAGAAUGGUGUAUUUAUGCGGCAAAAGAUGCCGCUGCUGUUCUGAAAGGCAACGAAUCUAGUUUUGUCAAACUCCAGUGGCUUAGAGAUGAUUUAUCCUUACACAACAGCAGCUAUUCGGUCUCUCCGGGUAGAUUCACGUCGGUUUUCAGAAUCAUGCUACUUCAUUUAAAUAGACAACUAUACUCAUCUUGUGGAAGUACUCACUCUACUGUUUAUUCUAGUGUGUGCAGAUCUACAGGAAUAAGCACUGUGUACGUGAAGGACGUGCCUCUUCAAACUGUGACUCCUCACCCACAGUAACACUUUCACUCACUUCUGCAAACAAGGCUGUCCCAAGCUCUGGGAUAAAUACCGACACUUACCCUCUGGCUACUCUGGGACAGCUGAGUCAAAGGUAUUUAUAACUAUUGGGAAUCUCUCUGUGUGGUAAGUGAGGGUUGUGUUUUGUUUCACGUUGUCUGAGUAGCCUUGGGGCUCAGAGAGCAGUGGAGAAUGAACAGCUAUGAUACAGCUUGUUCAAUGAUUUCAAAUACUGUACUAUGAUACAGUAUCACACAGGGCCGGUCUUUCUAAGUGUAUUUCUGCUGUACAAUUCUUGGGCUUAAUUUAAGCCCUGUGCAUUAUAACAUUCAUAUAUUUAGAAGUUUAAAUGUCUUCCUCACUGAAAAAAGUGAUCCCCUUGUGGAUUCCAUACUCAACUCUGGAAAAAGAAAAAAGUGAUAUUAUCAUAGAUGGUCACACACCUAAUUAACCCACUUUUUCUUGUCAUUAUAUCACUGGCAUUAUCAGGUGCUCACAUUUGGGUUGUGGAGGAAAAGGAAGGACAUUAGAGUUUGAUCACUGUCAACUAGCCAUCAUUUGAACUUUGAGAAGUUGUUUCUGAGUUGUCCUAACUACUGAGUUGUUAGUUACUCUGCUAACUUUUAGUUAACUAACAUCAAUCAGGCAGUGUGUUGGUUAUACUGUGUAGACUGCAGAGGGACCUGGUAGGUGUGUUUCUGCUGGUAGCACAUGCCCCAGGAGAACCGAGUACAGCAGCAAUUUGGGUUGUUCAGAGGCAGGAUAUAUGGUUACAAGGUUAAAACAUCCCUAAAAGCCUGUGUGUGGAAGGCCUGAUCCUUAGCUGGUGAGUCAUGAGGACAUUAAUCUCAUCAGUGGAUUCAUCUGCUGAUGAGUUUGCAAAUGAACGAGCUAUUGAAAGGAGGUGGGAACCGAGAAGAUGGAGCCAAUAUGAAGGCAGGUCAGUACUGAGGACCUGUCCUUGAAGGCUGUACCUUUCCCGGGGUCAGAAUAAGUUUUUGCUUCUUUUAAACGGUUUGUCAUUUAACCAGAGCAAAGAAAUGCUAACUAAAAAAUGCAGUCAGAAUCUUCCCUUUAAAUUUUUCUUUUAUUUCUUAUGUUCAUUGUACAUAGUAAUUGAUUUUAUAAAGACAGUUUCUUUCAAAUAUAUUAUGUACUUUAACCACAUUUACCCAAUAUCACCACCUCCUAUCACUUGUCUUUUAUUCCAUGUUUUUUAUUCAUGUUAUACGCAUAUAAAUUAUUUUUAUCAAUUUAUAUAUACUCCAAAUUUUACAUAAGAUAUAUGUUAAGUCUGGCUUAUUUCAUGCAAUACAAUGAUCUCCAGUGCAUUUGUUUUCUAGCAAAUGUCAUAACUUUAUUCUGUUUUAUAGAUGAAUAAAACUGUACUGUGUGUACAUAUAGUACAUAUACAUACACACAUAUCACAUUUUUUUAUCCGUUCAUCUGUUGACUGAUACCAAGACUGAUGAAAUAUCUUGAUUGUUAUAAAUAAUACUGAAAUAAACAUGUAUGUGCAAUACCUGA